rnacentral:rRNA from 1 species
AAAACAUGGUCUUUUGUUUAUAUAAAAGAUCUGGCCUGCCCAAUGAUGAAUAAUUUAAUGGCUGCAGUAUUUUGACUGUACAAAGGUAGCAUAAUCAUUUGUCUUUUAAUUGAAGUCUGGAAUGAAUGGUUGGAUGAAAAAUUUACUUUCUUUAUUUUAAGAAUAAAAUUUAAUUUUUAAAUUAAAAAGUUUAAAUAGUGAUAUAGGACGAGAAGACCCUAUAGAACUUUAUUUAUAGGAGUUAUUUAUUAGUUUGUUAAUUAUUAAUAUAUAUUUUUAUAUAAAUUUUGUUGGGGUGACAGAAAAAAUAUUUUAACUUUUUUUAAUUAAAACAUUUAUAUAUGUAUUUUUGAUCCUUUAUUAUGGAAUAUAAGAUUAAGUUACCUUAGGGAUAACAGCGUUAUUAUUUUAGAGAGUUCUUAUUAAUAAAAUAGUUUGCGACCUCGAUGUUGGAUUAAAAUUAGCUACAGGAGUAGAAGAUUGUUGGCUAAGUCUGUUCGACUUUUAAAUUUUUACAUGAUCUGA